rnacentral:rRNA from 1 species
ACUCUGAGUGUUUUCGAUUUUUUCGUAAACUUUUCUGAAGCGUAAAUAACUUUAGGAAUAAGAGCUGGGUAAGACGGGUGCCAGCCGCCGCGGUAAUACCCGCAGCUCAAGUUGUUUGGACUAUUAUUGGGUCUAAAGCGUUCGUAGCCGGAAAAGCAAGUUCUUUGUGAAAUCCAACAACUUAAUUGUUGGGCGUGCAGGGAAUACUACUUUUCUUGGGACCGGGAUGGGCCAAGGGUACUUUUGGGGUAGGGGUGAAAUCCAAUAAUCCUAAAGGGACCACCUGUGGCGAAGGCGCUUGGCUAAAACGGGUCCGACGGUGAGGAACGAAAGCUAGGGGAGCGAACGGGAUUAGAUACCCCGGUAGUCCUAGCUGUAAAUGAUGCAAAUUAGGUGUUGCGCACUCUUCGUGAGUAUGCAGUGCCGAAGGGAAGCCGUUAAAUUUGCCACCUGGGAAGUACGGUCGCAAGGCUGAAACUUAAAGGAAUUGACGGGGGAGCACAACAAGGGGUGGAGCUUGCGGUUUAAUUGGAUAAUACUCCGGAAAUCUCACCAGGAGCGACAGCAGUAUGAAAGCCAGGUUGACGAUCUUGCUAGACUUGCUGAGAGGUGGUGCAUGGCCGCCGUCAGUUCGUGCCGUAAGGUGUU